UCUCCCGAGAAUAAAAUCAAGGUACCAUUAGGCUGCAUUUCUUUUGGAGUCUUUAAGAGAGAAUCAGUUCCCUGCUUAUUUGAGUUGUUGGCACUAUUCCGUUCCUGUGGUUGUAGGACCAAGGUCACUGUUUUCUUGCUGGCUAUAAACUGAGGGUCAUUCUCUGCUCCUAGAGACCACUGCAUUCCUUGGCUCAUAGCCACCUUCCUCCAUCUUCCAAGCAAGCAUGUUGACGAGCCGUAUCCUUCUCAUGUCAGCUCUCUCUGACUCACUCUUCUGCCUUCCUCUUCACGUUUCAGGGCACGUGUGAUUAGAUUGGGCCGGCCCGAAUAAUCCAGGAUCAUCUCUCCAUCCCAGAGUCCUUAAUUUUAAUCACGUCUGCACAGUCCCUUUUGCCUCUGUUCUCCUGACUCCAUCCUCUGAGUCAUGUUUUCUUUUUCACAUUCGAGGUUCCAGGGACCAGGACAUGGACAUCUGUGAGGGGCCAUUAUUCCUCCUAUCACGCCCAGUGAGGCGGGAUUGGUGACACUCAGGUGCCCUUGCGACUCUAUCACUGAGCCCCCCCUGACAGCCCAUGUCCUAGAGAGUCUUCUUUGUCGGGCCAGCAAGCAGCAGGCACUUAGUCACUGGCAAAUAACAAUGAUGGAUGGUAGAGGUUUAAACAGGAUGCUGUGGAUUUGGCCUGCGUUUCUCCUCUGCUGGCUCCCUGUUGGUUUCUAAGACUCGGUAUUGGCUGGGUCAGAUGGUACGUGCAGUCUUGAACAGCUCUGGUGGCUUUCUGAUCUCUUUGAAAUAUCCUGGUGUUUUUCCAUUUUUCCAGUCACAGAGGAGCAGAUAGAAACUCUGGCAGAGAACAAAUCUUUAGAUGGUUAAGAAUUUUGGAGGAGACAGAAGCCAGUUGGGGUAAAAUGAGAACAGAGUGUUCCUCGGGGACCUUGGGUCGUUGGAGAAAUGCCUCCAAUUUGAUUUAUUUCACAUUUUUGAUAGAUGUGUGUCCUGCCCAUCCCUUCUUCUGGCCCCUUUCUUCGGAACAGAAGUCCCCUGUGGAACAGACUCUGUGCUGGGUUGGUAAAUGCUUGAGGCUCUCACAUAACAGGAGGAGAACUACAUACUGAGGCAGCAUGGAUGCCGUCAGCCAGGUCCCCGUGGAAGUUGUGCUCCCCAAACACAUCCUGGAUAUCUGGGCCAUUGUCCUCGUCAUCCUGGCCACCGUUGUCAUCAUGACCUCCCUGUUGCUGUGCCCGGCCACGGCGGUCAUCAUCUAUCGCAUGCGGACUCAUCCUGUCCUCAGCGGGGCUGUGUGAGAGCCGGGGCUGUGUGAGAGCCGCUCAGGAGGGGCAGGGGCGGGGUGAGGACAGCGGCCCCGCCCCCAGCCUCUUUCCCUUUCUCAGAAAAGCAGCAGGAGGGACUUUGGAGCCUGGACUCUGGAGCUUGACAUGGGGGAGGACACCUGAGUCCUGGUGCAGUCUGCCACUGGCCCGCUGAGUGAGAUCUGUCACAGGACCUAAUCCUAUGACUUCCAGGUUCCUUGUCUCCAAUGGGGCUCACUAACCGUGCCCUUCCUACCUCACACGGCUGUGAGAACCAAUGGCUGGGUGGACGUUAAAACCAUGUGUGAGCAAUAAAGCCACCACACAUGUGCAGGUGUUACUGCUGAGUGCUGAGAAGCUCUGAAGAACCAAAGCACCUGACUGCUGCUGAUGGCCUUCAAGGUGGUGAGGGACACCUGGGGGCAGAGCCGCCUUUGCCAGUGCCCCUCAGGUCAAACCAAGCAAAAGCACCACGCGUGUUCUCAUUCCAAGGGCCCAGCAGCACGUUGGCUCAGUUGUUUUCUUUGAGGUGCCACUCCCUCACGUUUCCU
ensembl:lncRNA